rnacentral:rRNA from 1 species
GAUGAACGCUGGCGGCGUGCUUAACACAUGCAAGUCGAACGAUGAAGCCCAGCUUGCUGGGUGGAUUAGUGGCGAACGGGUGAGUAACACGUGAGUAACCUGCCCUUAACUCUGGGAUAAGCCUGGGAAACUGGGUCUAAUACCGGAUAGAAGCGUCAACCGCAUGGUGGGUGUUGGAAAGAUUUAUCGGUUUUGGAUGGACUCGCGGCCUAUCAGCUUGUUGGUGAGGUAAUGGCUCACCAAGGCGAUGACGGGUAGCCGGCCUGAGAGGGUGACCGGCCACACUGGGACUGAGACACGGCCCAGACUCCUACGGGAGGCAGCAGUGGGGAAUAUUGCACGAUGGGCGCAAGCCUGAUGCAGCGACGCCGCGUGAGGGAUGACGGCCUUCGGGUUGUAAACCUCUUUCAGUAGGGAAGAAGCGAGAGUGACGGUACCUGCAGAAGAAGCACCGGCUAACUACGUG